rnacentral:rRNA from 1 species
AGAAUCAACGCUGGCGGCGUGCCUAACACAUGCAAGUCGAACGAGAGAGUGGAGCAAUCCAUGAGUAAAGUGGCGACCGGGUGAGUAACACGUGACUAACCUACCUUCGAGUGGGGGAUAACCUCGGGAAACCGAGGCUAAUACCGCAUAACAUCGUGAGAUCAAAGCAGUAAUGCGCUGGAAGAGGGGGUCGCGGCUGAUUAGCUAGUUGGCGGGUAAUGGCCCACCAAGGCGAAGAUCGGUA